CCGGUGCCCUGUUUCCUUCUCUCUUCCCCAUUCAUUCUUCUUCCCCCUUCUCUCUUCUCUUUGGCUGGCCUCUGGGAACCCUAAGGAGGUCUUCCAGCGUAUCGGCCUCGCCUUCUUGCAGCCUUUCUGGGAGGCGUCGAUCGUCAACUGUGGUGUCUCAGUUUCUUCUAGUGAGAUACACAACUGAUGUGGAAUAACCUAAAAAAUGCAAAUGACAAACAAUUGUAUGAAUACGACAAAAAAUGAUGCAGGGACACAUGCUAUGGUGGAUCAGAGAUCUAUUUGCAGCAAUAUUCAAUUUUUAAGCUGGCCCAGGGUCAAACAUUGGGCAGCCACAGCAGUGUUUCUUCCUUCUUACAUUCAGCCUGUGUCCUCUGGAAGUGAAUUUUUUGACUGAUUGAUAAAUUAUUUGGAGAAAUUAUUUUUAAACAUGCCGUCUCUGCAAUUAUUGCUGUUAACUGACCAUGGGCGCAGCCUUUUGGCUUGUAGGAGGAGAACAGUUGCAUUAGUCUCAGGUGUUCUAGUGGCUGGUGGAACUCUUGCAUAUAUGCAGUCACGAUGGCAUAGCAGCUCCCUCAGACAAGAAUCUUCUUCUAACAUCUGUACAUCUGGUAAGAAUAAGGAGAGCUCGAGCCAGAAUGGUGCAGUUGAUAAGUCAAUUAGGACAUCAAGGCAAAAUAAAAGGGGAUUAAGAUCUCUCCAUGUUCUAGCUGCAAUCUUGCUCUCACAGAUGGGCCCAAUGGGAAUGCGCAAUCUUAUGGCAUUAGUAGCCACGGUGGUGUUGAGAACUGCCUUGAGCAAUCGAUUGGCAAAAGUUCAAGGAUUCUUGUUUCGAGCUGCUUUUCUUCAGCGUGUACCAACCUUUUUGCGCCUGAUUGCUGAAAAUAUUCUCUUAUGUUUUCUCCAGUCUACCUUGUUUUCUACUUCAAAGUACUUGACAGGGGCCUUAAGUUUACGGUUGAGGAAAAUACUAACAGAGCUCAUACAUGCUGAUUAUUUUGAGAAUAUGGUAUACUACAAAAUCUCUCAUGUUGAUGACCGAGUUACCAACCCAGAGCAACGAAUUGCCAGCGAUAUACCAAAAUUCUGUUCAGAACUGAGUGACCUUAUAUGGGAUGAUCUCACAUCAGUUACUGAUGGUCUAAUAUAUACGUGGCGCCUCUGUUCCUAUGCAAGUCCAAAAUAUGUGCUCUGGAUACUGGCAUAUGUAUUAGGGGCAGGAUCUAUGAUUAGAAACUUCUCGCCUGCAUUUGGGAAACUGAUGUCCAAGGAGCAGCAAUUGGAAGGGGAUUAUAGGCAGCUUCACUCACGGUUGAGGACCCAUGCUGAAAGUGUUGCAUUUUAUGGGGGAGAGAACAGAGAAGCAUCCCAUAUUAGACAACAGUUCAAGACUCUUGUUAAGCAUUUGAAUCUUGUUCUUCAUGACAAUUGGUGGUUUGGAAUGACUCAAGAUUUUCUCUUAAAAUACCUUGGUGCUACAGUAGGAGUUGUCCUGAUUAUUGAACCCUUUUUCGCCGGCAAUCUUCGACCUGAUGCCUCAACAUUGGGAAGAGCAGAUAUGUUGAGCAAACUUCGUUAUCAUACCAGUGUGAUAAUUUCACUAUUUCAAUCCUUUGGGACUCUCUCUAUCAGUUCUCGGCGGUUGAAUCGUCUCAGUGGUUAUGCGGACCGCAUUCACGAGCUGAUGGUUGUCUCUAGAGAGCUAUCUUCUAUUCAGGGCACAUCAUCAAUUCGAAAUAGCUCAAGUGAGAAUUAUAUUAGUGAAGCAAGUCAUAUUGAAUUCUCAGAUGUCAAGGUUGUUACACCAAAAGGAAACGUAUUGGUGGACAAUCUGAAUCUUAAGGUUGAAUCAGGUUCUAAUCUUCUGAUCACAGGUCCAAAUGGAAGUGGGAAAAGCUCCCUUUUCCGGGUUCUUGGAGGCCUCUGGCCGCUACUAUCUGGUCACAUUGUAAAGCCUGGGUUUGGUUCUGAUCUCAAUAAGGAGAUCUUCUAUGUCCCACAACGACCAUAUACGGCUGUUGGAACACUUCGUGACCAAUUAAUCUAUCCUCUUACGGCAGAUCAGGAGAGUGAACCACUUACACUUGAUGGAAUGGUUGAGCUGUUGAAAAAUGUGGACCUUGAGUACUUGCUGGAACGUUAUCCCUUUGACAAGGUAGUUAACUGGGGUGAUGAACUAUCCCUUGGUGAGCAACAGAGACUGGGAAUGGCCAGGUUGUUCUACCAUAAGCCUAAGUUUGCCAUUCUUGAUGAGUGUACAAGUGCUGUCACAACUGAUAUGGAGGAACGUUUCUGUGCUAAGGUUCGAGCAAUGGGGACGUCAUGUAUUACUAUAUCUCACCGCCCUGCAUUAGUUGCAUUUCAUGACAUAGUUUUGUCCUUGGAUGGGGAAGGAGGGUGGAAUGUUCAGUACAAGAGGGAUGGUCCAUCAUUUUCUAAUGAAGCUGGUCCUGCUCUGCUAAAAUGUUCUGAAUCUGAUCGUCAAAAUGAUGCGCUGGCUGUUCAAAGAUCUUUUACUGCCAGCAGAAAGGAUAAUACAUCACCAAAAUCCAAGGGGCAUUCUUAUUCAACAGAGGUGAUAACAUCAUCUCCUGAAAUAGAGUACAAUGUUCCGUUGCCUGUGGUUCCACAAUUGCAAAGGGCCCGAAGAACAUUGCCGCUUAGAAUAGCUGCAAUGUUUAAAAUACUGGUUCCCACUCUGCUUGAUGGACAGGGUUCACAGUUGUUUGCAGUUGCUUUACUUGUUGUGUCUAGAACAUGGAUUUCGGAUCGCAUUGCUUCUUUGAAUGGGACUAGUGUGAAGUAUGUCUUGGAGCAGGACAAAGCAGCCUUUAUUAGAUUAACUGGUAUAAGCAUUCUUCAAAGUGCUGCAUCCUCUAUUGUUGCCCCGUCACUAAGGUACCUCACAGCCAAGCUUGCCCUUGGAUGGCGAAUUCGUUUGACUCAACAUAUACUGAAAUAUUAUUUAAAAAGAAAUGCUUUUUACAAGGUGUUCCACAUGCCAGGUAAAAAUAUUGAUGCAGACCAGCGAAUAACACAUGAUGUGGAAAAGUUAACCCAUGAUCUCUCAAAAUUGGUCACUGGAAUGGUAAAACCUUCUGUGGACAUUAUUUGGUUCACUUGGAGAAUGAAACUCUUAACCGGGCAAAGAGGAGUUGGUAUAUUGUACCUUUACAUGUUACUAGGCUUGGGCUUCUUGAGAAGUGUCACCCCGGAUUUUGGUGAUCUGGCAAGUAGGGAACAACAGCUUGAGGGAGCAUUUAGGUUUAUGCACUCAAGACUCCGUACACAUGCUGAAUCCAUUGCUUUCUUUGGUGGUGGUUCUCGGGAAAAAGCCAUGAUUGAUUCAAGAUUUAGGGACAUGCUUCAUCACUCGAAGACCCUAUUGAGAAAAAAAUGGCUGUAUGGUGUCUUAGAUGACUUUGUCACGAAACAACUUCCUCACAAUGUGACAUGGGGACUUAGUUUGUUAUAUGCUAUGGAGCAUAAAGGAGACCGUGCUUUGACUUCUACACAAGGGGAGCUGGCACAUGCAUUGCGCUUCCUAGCGUCUGUAGUGUCACAAAGCUUUCUGGCAUUUGGGGACGUACUUGAGUUGCAUAAAAAAUUCCUUGAACUUUCUGGUGGUAUAAACCGGAUCUUUGAGCUGGAGGAGCUUCUUGAUGCUGCCCAGAGCGAGAUUUCUCUACCUGAUGCUUCCAUCUCCUCUGAAGUAAAUGACUCACCUGCUCAAGAUAUUAUUUCUUUCUCUAAGGUGGAUAUUAUCACCCCAUCACAGAAGCUAUUGGCUAGGCAACUAACGUGUGAUAUUUUACAAGGAAAAAGCCUGCUUGUUACUGGACCCAACGGGAGUGGGAAGAGUUCUGUAUUCAGAGUCCUUCGAGGUUUGUGGCCGAUUGUAACUGGAAAACUUGUCAAGUGCUGCCAAGGCAUGUUCUAUGUUCCCCAGCGACCAUAUACAAGUCUGGGGACUCUGAGGGAUCAAAUCAUAUACCCUCUCUCUCGUGAGGAAGCAGAGAUGAGGAUGCUCACAAUAGGCGGCAAGCCUGAUGCUACUAGUCUUCUGGAUGCUCACCUGAAGACUAUUCUUGAGAACGUUCGAUUAGUCUAUCUUCUUGAAAGAGAAGGUUGGGAUGCUGCUUCAAACUGGGAAGAUGUUCUUUCACUAGGGGAACAACAGAGGCUGGGCAUGGCCCGGUUGUUUUUCCACCAACCAAAAUUUGGCAUCCUUGAUGAGUGCACAAAGUAUGCAAUCUAUUAAGUUCCAGUGCCACUAGUGUCGACGUUGAAGAACACCUAUACAGACUUGCAAAUGAAAUGGGUAUAACAGUUAUUACAUCUUCCCAACGUCCUGCCCUCAUACCAUUCCAUUCCAUGGAGUUGAAACUUGUUGAUGGUGAGGGCAAGUGGGAGUUAUGUGCGAUCAACCAGUGAAUUUUGUCAACAUAUUCUGUUGGCAUUUACGCCUAUGGAAUCAAUCAGAAUUGCUAGUUACGACAAAGCCAACAGCGCCAUGAUGCAGCUAGAGAUUUAAAGAAUACGCCAACACAGGUGAAGCCAGAUGUAUAAGUAAGUGCAGAUUCUACGGUAAGAUGGGACUUCUGCACAUGUUCGGACCUUUUGUCCUCAUGGGAAACUUUUAUUCUUUUACGCGAGAUUUUUGAGCCAGAAGAAAGGUGGAUACUUACUAUAGGUAUAGAUCAUAGAUGGUAAAAACAAAAAAAAAGGGGCUCAGGCCCCAUAGUUUGACCAAUAAGAAUGGGAUAUGGUAAUAGAACUGUAUAGCGAGGAAUUUUAUUGUACAGUCCAAUCCAUUAAUCUAAUACAUCUAAAAAGAAAAUGACAUUAUUUCAGAUCAACUGAAGGAUGUGUCAAUAUUUGCCUUGCCUAGUUCCGAAGCUCGUGCAGUGCAGAACCAGUGCGUGAAGACUCAUAUUCUGAGUCCUUUCACUUCCAUAACGGUAUGGAUAUGGGGCUUUGAAUUAUGACGGUUGGUUUUUGCACUUACUUUUUAUUCUUUUUGUAUAAACACAUCAGAGAUUACUAGAUUUUAUUGCAUCAGUCGGUGGAGCUCUGGAAUAACAUCUAACGUCUUUUUUUGCAUAUGAAGCUCCGGCUGGUAUCUCGCUCUAUGCUUUUGUUUCCCAAAAAUGGUUCUAUUUGAUUUUGAUUGUACUCCUAUGGAGAAUUUGCUGCCGGCAUCUCAGGUAUGGCAGCAGUUUUAUGGAUUCAUAGGAGUUGAGGAUUUUUAUUCAGGAACAUGAAGGGAUGAGAUGCAUGGGUGCAAGGAGGGGGUUAGGUCUGGAUGAAAAUUUGACCCAUUAGCAUGGCCAACGGCGCUAUAAGCUGCUCUAGUCCUUUAUUCCCUUGAAUUUGUUGUAGGUUACUUUCGUGAUAUCCUUGUUCCUGCUAUGAAGGUGUUUUAACACGUCAGACUGCGUCUCCUGCAUCAGCGUGGUUGUUGCAUUUCUCUUUACCAAGCAUUUGUAUGUAUUUUGAUCAGAUGGGGGAAGUUUGAGGGCAGAAGCUUUCCAUUUGAGAAAUGCUUUGGAAUUUGUAUUUACUAUCAUCUGAUUACUGCGUUAAAAAUGUUAAAGAGUCUUUUUUCA